GACGAACGCUGGCGGCGUGCUUAACACAUGCAAGUCGAACGGAAAGGCCCUGCUUUUGUGGGGUGCUCGAGUGGCGAACGGGUGAGUAACACGUGAGUAACCUGCCCUUGACUUUGGGAUAACUUCAGGAAACUGGGGCUAAUACCGUAUAGGAGCUCCUGCUACAUGGUGGGGGUUGGAAAGUUUCGGCGGUUGGGGAUGGACUCGCGGCUUAUCAGCUUGUUGGUGGGGUAGUGGCUUACCAAGGCUUUGACGGGUAGCCGGCCUGAGAGGGUGACCGGCCACAUUGGGACUGAGAUACGGCCCAGACUCCUACGGGAGGCAGCAGUGGGGAAUAUUGCACAAUGGGCGGAAGCCUGAUGCAGCAACGCCGCGUGCGGGAUGACGGCCUUCGGGUUGUAAACCGCUUUCGCCUGUGACGAAGCGUGAGUGACGGUAAUGGGUAAAGAAGCACCGGCUAACUACGUG
rnacentral:rRNA from 1 species